rnacentral:rRNA from 1 species
UGGGGAAUUUUGGACAAUGGGGGAAACCCUGAUCCAGCCAAUCCGCGUGUGCGAUGAAGGCCUUCGGGUUGUAAAGCACUUUUGGCAGGAAAGAAAUCGCACGGGUUAAUAACCCGUGUGGAUGACGGUACCUGCAGAAUAAGCACCGGCUAACUACGUGCCAGCAGCCGCGGUAAUACGUAGGGUGCAAGCGUUAAUCGGAAUUACUGGGCGUAAAGCGUGCGCAGGCUGUUUUGUAAGUCAGAUGUGAAAUCCCUGAGCUCAACUUAGGAACUGCGUUUGAAACUACAAGACUAGAAUAUGUCAGAGGGGGGUAGAAUUCCACGUGUAGCAGUGAAAUGCGUAGAGAUGUGGAGGAAUACCGAUGGCGAAGGCAGCCCCCUGGGUCAGCACUGACGCUCAUGCACGAAAGCGUGGGGAGCAAACAGG